rnacentral:rRNA from 1 species
UACGGAGGGAGCUAGCGUUAUUCGGAAUUACUGGGCGUAAAGCGCACGUAGGCGGCUUUGUAAGUUAGAGGUGAAAGCCCAGGGCUUAACCCUGGAAUUGCCUUUAAGACUGCAUCGCUAGAAUCGUGGAGAGGUAAGUGGAAUUCCGAGUGUAGAGGUGAAAUUCGUAGAUAUUCGGAAGAACACCAGUGGCGAAGGCGACUUACUGGACACGUAUUGACGCUGAGGUGCGAAAGCGUGGGAGCAAACAGG